GUGCCAGCCGCCGCGGUAAAACGUAGGAUCCGAGCGUUAUCCGAAUUCACUGGGCGUAAAGCGCGUGUAGGCGGUUCGGUAAGUUGGAUGUGAAAUCUCCUGGCUCAACUGGGAGGGGACGUUCAAUACUGUCGGACUAGAGGACGGCAGAGGAAGGUGGAAUUCCCGGUGUAGUGGUGAAAUGCGUAGAUAUCGGGAGGAACACCAGUGGCGAAGGCGGCCUUCUGGGCCGUUUCUGACGCUCAGACGCGAAAGCUAGGGGAGCAAACGGGAUUAGAAACCCUGGUAGUCC
rnacentral:rRNA from 1 species